rnacentral:misc_RNA from 1 species
AGUCGUAACAAGGUUUCCGUAGGUGAACCUGCGGAAGGAUCAUUAACAUGUGUAACGAAGAGUUUGAGUGGGGGUUAGUGUAGGAGGGGGAGACAGAGGGUGUAAGGAAGUUGAUUUAACGAAAGUUUAUUCUACCUUCUUGCUGUGUCUAGACGCAAGUUUAUUAGCAACAUCUCUGACUUCUUCCGGCUGCCCCAAAAACAUUAACAUACGAGUAAGGACAUUCAUACAACUACUAACAAUGGAUCUCUUGGCUCUC